rnacentral:hammerhead_ribozyme from 1 species
AUCCAACUAACGAGUCCCAAAUAGGACGAGAAGCACUUCCUGGAU